CACUAAUGCAUCUAGGAUUAACCUGUGUCAUUUAUAUAACAGAAAAAGGACAACAGAACAGGAUGCAGGAAGAUGGCGCGCAGGCGCUGCUCCAUCUCCACCGCCUACGUGCUCACAGGCGCUGCCUGCUUCCAGGCUGCCUCAGUUAGGACCUCACACAGGUUAUGUAACGAGGUAGGAACCAAGUGCAUCUUUGCUCAAUUGUGAAAUUCACUUAAAAGCUUGGAAGCUGUUGUCAAGCCAAGAAAAUCUCUCUGGGAGAAGAGCCCUGACCUGCAGUGUUUUUCCUAUUGCUCAACCAUGUUGAUUUUUACCAGGAAUGUUCUGGACAUUCUCCUGCAUGUUUCCUUCCUUUCCAGUGGAGGAAAGGCCCUCUAAUGCAGUGCCGCCGUACCUUUUGUGAGCCUGGCCUGCGUCUGCUGCCUGGCCCGUAAUCUGUGUUCCACCACUGAGAGCCCGUGACUGUUGAAUCCGUAUCUGUAGCACAGAAGAAGAUGGAGAGGGGACAAGGUUAGAGCCCUCAGGUGGAAAGCAAGGACUCUGGAGAGACAGCUACGUGGCUGUUUUCAACAUCUACUUAGGUACUAAAGGCUAGAACCACGCUCUGAGGUCUGAGCAGAGCUACUAGUCACAUGUGGCCGUGGAGCAUGUGAAGCCGGCCAGUCCAACCUGAGAGCUAUAAGGAAAACAGCGCAUUUCAAGAUUUGGGACAAGUAAAAGAAGCAGAGGUGAGCCCCAAGCUACUGAGACCUCGGCCAGGCAAAUGGUGGCCAAGGGGACAGAUGCCGAGCCAGACUCCAUGGGUUUGAAUCCUGGCUCCAUUACUUCCCAGCUGUGUGCCGUUGGGUGUUACAGGAGCACCUACCAGCAUGUCAGAGUCUUGAAACGUGGCCCGAGGAAGGAGCCCCAGGGA